UAGUAGUAGGUAGUUGUUGUUGUUGUUGUGGCUGUUGUAAUAGUAGUAGUAGUUUUGCAGAAGUAGUAGUAGUAGUAGUAGUACUAGUAGUAGAAGUAAUAGUAGUAACUUUCAAAGCAAUGUCUACAAGUUUAAAUUCCUUAACCCUGUUCAAGGUGUAUACACACUCAAUAUUUAACUACAGUCCAGGUUUGCAAUUAACAAACUAUCUGAGGUGCCUGUGUGUGAGUCAGAUGUGUCUGCGGCUAAUCUAUUGGUUAUAAAAUAUCACAGCCUUUUCUGAUUGGCUGAGUUCAAAUACAGAAAGUUUACCUGUUAGAUUGAAAUUCUGGAGAAGGCGUAUUGAAGAAAAAAUGCAGGUUAAACUUGUUGUUAAAAUGAAGUUAAUGUAAUUUCACAAACAGUAGAGUUUAACUUAAUGAGUUUUUCCAUUAACAAGAAUUUCUUAAAAUAAUAAUGUAUGGAUAUCAUUUGGAAAGUGACAUGAAAUGUUGUUAAAAAGUGAUGCAUACAAGUGUUUCAGAAGUCUGUCUAGGAAUAGAACAACAACUGAAGCUGACCAGUUGAUGGAAGAUACUGCAGAGUUUGGCAGGGAAAUAACCCAAGACAGCAAAGCGGCUCUUUUGGCGCAUUUACCAAGAGGACUAACAUGGCCACAAAUUCAUGAGAUCAUGCAGGAGCCGUACAGUAUAACAGCAGUACAAGUUCUAUAAAAGAUCCACGACCUACUGAAGCCCAGCUAAUUAACAAAAAAGUUUUUAAAAACUGUAAUUUUAUCCCACCUGGGUACUUAUAAUUUACUAAGCUGCCUUCACAAGUUUUAGACUUGCAAUUAUAUUUUAAACUGUCACUUGGAAAGUAAUACAUGUACAUGCAUUCAUGUUCUGAAUUUCUUUGAACAAUAAAAUUAUAUAAAAGUAUUUUAAUGAAAUUGAGCACCUAAAUUGCAUUAAAGUGAAAGU